AUGCUUUCACAACUUGACUUUAAAAUAUUUGGUUUGGAGACCAUCAAAGAUCAAUAUGUGCAUGAUGCUGAAUUUAAAGAUGUAUGGCAGAAUUGUAAGGAAGGGAGAACUUGGAACAAGUUCGUUCUUAACGAUGGAUUUGUGUUUCGUGCUAACAAGGUAUGCAUUCUAGCUAGCUCCGUUCGUCUUUUGUUGUUGCAGGAGGUGCAUGGAGGAGGAUUAAUGGGACACUUUGGCGUCAAGAAGAUGGAGAAUAUACUUGCUACACAUUUCUUUUGGCCAAAGAUGAGACAAGAUGUUGAGCGUUUUGUUGCUCGCUGCACAACAUGUCAAAAAGGACAUCAAUACCAUUGUUACACCCACAGCCCCUGCUACUAUACAUACUGGACCAAUUACUAG
rnacentral:rRNA from 1 species